CUGAGUGGGAGAGCAGCAGGCGAUGCGCGAAAGGCGGGACUUGGAGAUAAAUACUGAGCACCCACUACAGGCAGCCAGCACCACUGCAGAUUGGAUACUGCUAUGAUGAUAAGCAUGGCCUGCCUUUAUGGAGGUUCUGGAUGUUCCUGUGGAUAACCUCAAGGAGCAGGGGACCUGGGACAUGACUGCCCCCAGCAUUCCUUCUGGCGGCAGACAGAGUUUGUCAGUUCGCCAACAUCCUGCUUUCAUGAGAACAGUUUGCUGUUUGCUCACAGAGCCUCCAGUGGUAUACUGAGUUGGUCACGACCCUCAUUCCUUCGGCCUCCAACAUCUCCCCUUUUGUUUUUGCAUUAAUUGAAUAAAGGUAAUUUCAGGCUGUGCAGCUUUCAAUUGCCGGUUGGUGGUUCACCCGAUCCUAUAGACUAUGAGCAAAAAAACAGAGACAUAACAACAUUAUUCUUGUAAUUAUUAUAAAAGAGACAUUGAAGUUAUGUUUAAGGUAGGUCCAAGGGUUGAGGCUUUUUUUUUUUUUUUUUUUUUUUUUGAGAUGGAGUCUCGCUCUGUCGCCCAGGCUGGAGUGCAGUGGCGCCAUCUUGGCUCACUGCAAGCUCCGCCUCCCGGGUUCACAUCAUUCUCCCACCUCAGCCUCCUGAUUAGCUGGGACUACAGGUGCCCGCCACCACACCCGGCUAGGGUUGAGGCUUUCUAAGCCCUGCUGGAAUUCUGUUUAAGCUUCUAAAAAGGGCUGUUAUUUUUGAGUUUGCUUAUUCAAGUUAAGAAUUUUACUCUGUAAGUUACUGAUAUCAAAAGUAAUAUUGGAUGUAAAAGCUCCCUGCAAAUGAGCUUUUACAAGGUUCCAUGGAUAUUCACUUUGGUUCUAUUCCAAAUUGGUCACACAAAUAUGAAUAUGAUUGAAAUGACAGUGCAAUUGCUGCUGCAAUUGCAAACUUUGUACCUGCUUUCCCAGCCACAGAACAGUAGUCUUUAACAUUGCUACCUUUGUUUGUAAUUCGGUAUUAAUUUUAUUUUGAAGCAUCCAUGCCUGGUUGGCUGUACAUGUCCAAUUUUCUACAUAUUGGGCUGUUUGAAUAGAACUAUGUAGUGCUACUGAGGACACUACAACCGAGGUUUUUAGUGUGACUAAGGAGAUUACAGUAAAAAUUACUAUGUUUAAGGCUUUACAUGCACGAUGAGUGAGCUGGGUAAGAAGGAGUUUUACAAAAUGUAAAGCAGGGGUGGCAGCCCAAGGUUUGCACAAAUUGACAGGGAUCCAUAAUCCAGGGAUACGACCCAGAAUUAUUAGAGUGGAUAUGUUGUGUGUUUGUAUUGUGCUAUGAUUGAGGCAGUGAUACAGUUGACAAGAGUCACAAGUCAACUGGGUGAUGUUUACGUGGAGUUGGUCCUUCUUAGAUGCUAGAAAAACAUACGGAUUAAAAACACAAACUGGCCGGGCACGGUGGCUCACGCCUGUAAUCCCA
rnacentral:lncRNA from 1 species